CUUCUCACCCUUAGCAAAUGAAAAUAUGCUGUUAAGCUUGCAAAUAUUUUCUAAAAAUGGCUGAAAUGAACAACUGCCCAACGCAGUGUUCGGCUUCCUGUGAGCAUUGUUCGUUCCAGUUUCCAGUGAGGUGGCUGUAGUAAAAUUUCUAACACUAGUAUGAAGCAGCCACGCAAUGGCACAAGGACUGUAGCUACUGGGCUGCAAUUAACGCACAGUUCAGGAGAGCAAUAGCGUAUGAAUAUAGUGUUGCUGAGCCUCGUUCAAGUUGCAUGGUUAGGCUCGGUUUGUGGGUUGAUCAUGGAUUCCCAGUGCUCAACCUUGCAGUUGUUUCUCUCA
rnacentral:lncRNA from 1 species